rnacentral:rRNA from 1 species
CCUACGGGAGGCAGCAGUAAGGAAUAUUGGUCAAUGGACGCAAGUCUGAACCAGCCAUGCCGCGUGAAGGAUGAAGGUCCUCUGGAUUGUAAACUUCUUUUAUAGGGGACGAAAAAAGGGCAUUCUUGCUCACUUGACGGUACCCUAGGAAUAAGCACCGGCUAACUCCGUGCCAGCAGCCGCGGUAAUACGGAGGGUGCAAGCGUUAUCCGGAUUUACUGGGUUUAAAGGGUGCGUAGGUGGGUCUGUAAGUCAGUGGUGAAAUCUCCGGGCUUAACCCGGAAACUGCCAUUGAUACUAUAGGUCUUGAAUACUCUGGAGGUAAGCGGAAUAUGUCAUGUAGCGGUGAAAUGCUUAGAUAUGACAUAGAACACCAAUUGCGAAGGCAGCUUACUACGGGGUUAUUGACACUGAGGCACGAAAGCGUGGGGAUCAAACAGGAUUAGAUACCCUGGUAGUCCACGCCCUAAACGAUGGAUACUCGACAUCAGCGAUACACUGUUGGUGUCUGAGCGAAAGCAUUAAGUAUCCACCUGGGAAGUACGACCGCAAGGUUGAAACUUCAAAUGAGUUAGAGNGNGNGAGNGCGAGACGACGACGAGGAGAGG